rnacentral:rRNA from 1 species
CCUACGGGAGGCAGCAGUGGGGAAUAUUGGGCAAUGGAGGAAACCCUGACCCAGCAACGCCGCGUGGGUGAUGAAGGGCUUCGGAGCGUAAAGCUCUGUUCAAAGGGAAGAAGAAAGUGACGGUAUCUUAGGAAAAAGCCUCGGCUAACUACGUGCCAGCAGCCGCGGUAAUACGUAGGAGGCGAGAGUGAUCCGGAAUGACUGGGGGUAAAGGGGGCGUAGGGGGUAGGGCAAGGUAGUUGCGAAAGCCCAAGGCACAACCUUGGAACUGCUUCUGAAACUGUUGGACUUGAGUGCAGGAGGGGCAACCGGAAUUCCUGGUGUAGCGGUGGAAUGCGUAGAUAUUAGGAGGAACACCAGUGGCGAAGGCGGGUUGCUAGACUGUAACUGACGCUGAGGCACGAAAGCGUGGGGAGCAAACAGGAUUAGAUACCCUUGUAGUC